UACGUAGGGGGCAAGCGUUGUCCGGAAUCAUUGGGCGUAAAGAGCGUGUAGGCGGCCAGAUAAGUCCGCUGUGAAAUCUCGAGGCUCAACUUCGAGCUGUCGGUGGAAACUGUCUGGCUAGAGUCCGGAAGAGGAGUGUGGAAUUCCCGGUGUAGCGGUGAAAUGCGCAGAUAUCGGGAAGAACACCCGUGGCGAAGGCGGCACUCUGGGACGGUACUGACGCUGAGACGCGAAAGCGUGGGGAGCGAACAGG
rnacentral:rRNA from 1 species